rnacentral:rRNA from 1 species
AUACGGGGGGUGCAAGCGUUAAUCGGAAUUACUGGGCGUAAAGCGCGCGUAGGCGGUUUGCUCAGUCGGAUGUGAAAGCCCAGGGCUCAACCUUGGAACUGCAUACGAUACUGGCAAACUAGAGUGUGGGAGAGGAUAGUGGAAUUUCCGGUGUAGCGGUGAAAUGCGUAGAUAUCGGAAGGAACAUCAGUGGCGAAGGCGACUGUCUGGCUCAACACUGACGCUGAGGUGCGAAAGCGUGGGGAGCAAACAGGAUUAGAAACCCUAGUAGUCC